rnacentral:ncRNA from 1 species
GACCCAGAACCGCGAGGAACGGCCCCUUGCGGAUCGGGCAAUACACCUAAAGGAG